rnacentral:rRNA from 1 species
GUUCAGAACGUCGCGAGACAGUUCGGUCCUCUAUCCACUGUGGGCGCAGGAAAAUUGAGAGGUUCAAACCCUAGUACGAGAGGACCGGGUUUGACGCACCUCUGGUGAUCCGGUUGUUCUGUCAAGAGCAUGGCCGGGUAGCUAAGUGCGGCACCGAUAAGCGCUGAAAGCAUCUAAGCGCCAAGCGGUUCUCAAGAUCAGUUUUCCCUGAAAGACCGUGGAAGACCACCACGUUGAUAGGCUGGGGGUGGAAGUGCAGCAAUGCAUGCAGCUCACCAGUACUAAUCGUCUGUCUGGCUUGAUU